rnacentral:tRNA from 1 species
GCCGAGAUCGCAUAGCCUGGUAGUGCGCGCGACUGGAAAUCGCGUGGGUCCGUCCCUCGGGAGUUCAAAUCUCCCUCUCGGCGCCA